CCUACGGGAGGCAGCAGUGGGGAAUAUUGCACAAUGGGCGAAAGCCUGAUGCAGCGACGCCGCGUGAAGGAUGAAGUAUUUCGGUAUGUAAACUUCUAUCAGCAGGGAAGAAAAUGACGCCACCUGACUAAGAAGCCUCGGCUAACUACGUGCCAGCAGCCGCGGUAACACGUAGGGGGCAAGCGUUAUCCGGAUUUACCGGGUGUAAAGGGAGCGUAGACGGCGAUGCAAGCCAGCUGUGAAAGCCCGGGGCUCAACCCCGGGACUGCAUUUGAAACUGUGUGGCUGGAGUGUCGGGGAGGCAAGCGGAAUUCCUAGUGUAGCGGUGAAAUGCGUAGAUAUUAGGAGGAACACCAGUGGCGAAGGCGGCUUGCUGGACGGUGACUGACGUUGAGGCUCGAAAGCGUGGGGAGCAAACAGGAUUAGAUACCCGAGUAGUC
rnacentral:rRNA from 1 species